rnacentral:rRNA from 1 species
CGAGAAAGCCCGCAAGGGUGAGUAAAGCGGCGCACGGGUGCGUAACACGUGGGUAAUCUGCCCUAGAGUCUGGAAUAACUCGCCGAAAGGCGUGCUAAUGCCGGAUGAGACCACGGGAGCCUCGGCUCCUGCGGGAAAAGAUGGCCUCUGUACACAAGCUAUCGCUCUGGGAUGAGCCCGCGGCCCAUCAGCUAGUUGGCGGGGUAACGGCCCACCAAGGCAACGACGGGUAGCUGGUCUGAGAGGACGAUCAGCCACACUGGAACUGAGACACGGUCCAGACUCCUACGGGAGGCAGCAGUGGGGAAUCUUGCGCAAUGGGCGAAAGCCUGACGCAGCAACGCCGCGUGUGUGAUGAAGGUCUUCGGAUCGUAAAGCACUGUCGCGAGGGACG